AUGUGGGUGGUGGCUUACAAAUGUUGAAAGCUGGUGAAGAAGCAAAUGAUAAUGAUAUUUGUAGGCCUUGGUUAAUUGAAAAUCAAAUCAACCAUGCAGAGAUUGCGCCUUUAUCAGGCUAUAACCCAUCUAAUGCAGAAUUAGGGAUGAACAUCUCACAGAUGUGCACAGCUGGUGGAGAAGCAAAUGGUAAUAAUAUUCAUGUGCCUUGGGUAUUUGGAAAUCAAUUCAUCCAUGCAGGUAGUACACCUUUCUUAGGCCAUGACCCAAUUAAAGAAGAAUUGAGAAUGAAUAACAGUUUUAUGGCAGGUGUAGCUCAAUCGAAUCAUCCUGAAAUGCUUGAUGGG
rnacentral:misc_RNA from 1 species